GGAUCAAUCUAUCGGUCGUGCAAUAGUACGUACUGAUUUUAUUGAUUCCUACCUUCUGAUGAACUAUGAUGUCAUUAAUUUGGUGUCAUAGGGAAUCAGGACUGUUACUUUGAAAAAAUUAGAGUGUUUAAAGCAAGUGAAUAACAGCCUGAAUACAUUAGCAUGGAAUAAUAGAAUAGG
rnacentral:rRNA from 1 species